rnacentral:lncRNA from 1 species
CUUUGCUGAAUGGGUGUGGGCAGCAAACCCAUGCAGAGGCUGUUAGUAAUCCUCACAGGCUCUGAUGUGGUCACACUGAACCGGAGACUUUGUGUUAUAUGUGAAUGCAUUGGCUUUACUUUCUAAUAUUUGGCUGGCUUUGUAAACCAUCUUCCUUUCUCCCCGCUCUUGUUUUCUCUCAUGAAGGCACCAUUUCUUGUUGGUUUUGGACUGUUUUUGUGACUAGAGAAGAAUGUAGGCUUCUCAGAAGCACAUGAGCUGUUUUGCUCUUCAGUAGUGUCCCUGCUCUGCUCAUAGACAGAGGAGAGCUGGGUGGACAGGAUCAGUCAGGAGGCUAAGGACAGGCAUGAAAGAAAGCCUCUGAAGCAGGAUGGAGUGGCAGAAAGGCUGCUUUUUCUCAAGGGAUCUGUGAAAUGAGGCAAUCCUGCUGUCAUUUCUGCAGCAGGGACUUGCUAGGGAAUAGGAAGUAAAUGGAGUGUCUUGUGGAGAUGCCUUGUAGGGAGAGCUGACUGCCAGCCAAAAACCCAUCCAGCUACAAAAGCAGCUGUUUCAGCCCAAAGAAUGUUUUGGUUGCAGUUAGCUGUGCUGUGCCCUGCAUCAGCCUCCAGAGAGCCUGUGUCACAGGACAGGAGACCUUUCAGCUGGAGAAGUCAGCCACUGUUCAAGCUUGACCCAGAUUCUGAGGCUUUCAUCUGGAGAGCUUCCUCACUGAUUUUCAGUCUUGGCUGUGUGAGUUUGUCUCCAGACCAGUCUGGGAAUGUAAGAGCUGGGGAAUCAUCUGACUCUUGCUGGAAGCAAGAGCACCCACUGGGAGCUGUUCUACCAGAUGCUGGUGAGGACAAAGAUGUUGGGAGGAUGUUGAAGAGGAAAAGAAUGAUGACAAUGAAUGAUGACCUGCAGCUGUUGGUUAACCAAUCUCAUUUGGAAAGAAGGCCCAUAGCAAGAGGAUCCUGUUAAUAACUCCAGUGUCUGGAUGCUGGCAGGACUGGGGUUUGCAUGAGUGGUGAAAUGGUGAAAUCAUGCCUAAACUCUGUUCCGAAGCUGGGGAGGCAGAGGUAUUGUGAAGCUUUUGUUCCCCGUGAAGUUUUGGAUAUGUUUGCCAGCAGAAAUCAAAUGUGAGCAUUUCCAAUUGUUGGGUGAAAGGUCCUUAAGUGAAACUAUUGCUCACUAAAGUGAAAAAUUUGCCUGUUCCCUCUAAAAUUGCCAUCUUGUUUCCAGACCUAUAAGGUGCAUGUCCUAGGAAUAGAAUAAAAUGUAAGUUGACCACA